ensembl:lncRNA
AUGACAGCUGAGCGGGUUGACAUGGCCGUCCCAGACAAUCUGCUGUUCUUGGACACAGAUGCUGUCAACUCUUCCUUCGCUUCACCACCCAUAGAGCAAAAUGAGCUUGCCCGUGCCACAGACAACCAGACAGAUGACAGAUGCAGUUCAGUCCCUGAUCAACACCCUAAUCCAGCCUCAGGAAGCUCAGGAUUAAUGCCAGUUCCGCAGCAGGACGGGACUUCUGAGAUCCAUAGUACAAACAUUAAAAGGGAAAAUGAGAGUGGUUUAGUCUUAAGGCGGUCCCUGGAUCCCACUGCAAUGAUAGAAAUUCAAAUAAAUCAUCCAAAUGAUGAUAAAAGUGACAAUUGUGACUUCAGUACUGCUGCUGUAAAGGAGACUGACAAUAUCUCAAACAGUAUUAACAUCCCUAAACUAAUUCACCUAAUGGACAAUAAUCAAAAUGACAAACAUAGUGACUCAAACAGUAAAGCUGAUCCAAAUGAGGCUCAUGAUAAUUUGUUGAGUCCAGAAGUUCUAUUAUUAACAGAAGACAACAGGCAAGAAGAAAAGAGCCAAGACACCAUUUUAAACCGUUAUGUCUCCUCUGAGAGCACUGGACUUGAGGUUAGCCAAAUGGCUAAUGAUAAUAACCCCUUGGUAAACACUGUCUCUGAUGUAAUGAAUAGUGAGCAAAGCUCAUGCUUGAUUGCAAGCAAUGAGACUGAUGCAGCUUCUUCUCAAUCCCUCAUCCAGACUUGCCAGGAUUCAUCUGAAGGUGUUGAUGCAGCAGUGGAAGUGGCGACUGCAUAUAAAACUCAUCCAGAAAUGCAUGACAUUGCAGAUGACUUGACAUUUUGUGGCUUCACAACCUCUCAUAUACCAAAGACAGACGAUCCGAAAACUGGAAUUCAUCUAUCUUUGGCUGAUUUGCAUGAAGCAGACACUGUAAACAUCUUAACACAUGCCUCAACAUUAUUAGACACUUUGGGGUUGAACAACAAUGUGUUGGAAACAGCUGACAUGCCAGGCAAUGACAGUGGGAUCAUUCAGACUGUAAAUCAAGAAUUAGCUUCCUUAAAUGUUGAGUUUUGCACUGGCGUUUUAACCCAAAUGGUUCAGAAUCUUCUACGGGAUUCAAAAUAUGAUGUAACGGAAUCAGAAUCCAACAGAACUGAUGAUUCCAUACUUGACAGAAUGACUGAUACAAAAUUCCCUUUAGACAUCAAUUGGGUGGCAACUUGUAGCAAUGAUCCAAGUGAGACAAUAGAGUCACUUUUCCCUCAAUCCAUGCACGAAACCGUACAGAUUGGUGAAAAACAUGAGAAGGAUCUCUCACAAGUGAUCCCUUGCCCAACAACUGUCACGAAUAGAGAUUUAGAUAACUGUUCUGAGGAGAUCGACGGUGCUUGCUUAAAGUUCACAAGAACAGAACGUGAUGUUGAGGCUGGUAGCGAGUUGUGGCUGGACGCACGCCAGUUCUUGGCAGGUGAAGAGGAUGAGAGUGCUAUUUUCGACAAGUGGGGUCGUUCGUGUUCUCCCAGCCCCCCCAUGGCCCAUCCAGACAACACAAAAGCCUCUGAUUACUCCAGGAGGGAGAACAUUUCAGUUGACCGCCACACUGAAGACUGGGAGCUGAGGUUUCCACCUGUUGAGAGGCGGUCAUCCUCAGACAGCUGGGCUAGUGCACUUUCAGACUGGUUCCAGGCAGUUAACACCUAUUCAGAAGACUCUUUCACCAGCGCUAACACUUCAAGCACUGGUUUUAAGCUCAGUAUGGCAAUCCAGGACGACUUUUUGGAGCAAAGGACAAGUCCUGAUAAUGCAAACAACACUGGACUGACGUGUCUGUCCCUGAAUCUCUUAGAAUCAGAAGAACCAGGUCAAGCCUUGAGUAGAGGACUAGUUGAGUCUGAUAACACUAAUGGAACUCUUUUUAAACAAGGAGAUAGAGAUGGACUUCCUUCUCAUUCAGACUCAGACAGACAGGACAAUACAACAAUGGAGAACAACAUGAGUUUAUUAGAGAUGUCUGAAUCCCAUAAAACAGAUAAGAAUGCAGUCUUGGAUAUGCUUAAUACAUCAAAGUGUCCUGCAAAUAAGGUCAGUGCCAAACAUUAUGGAAGUCAGCACACCCCUGGAGAGUUUUGGAGUGCAAAGGUGAGAUGA